AGGUCAGAGCGGCAGAAACAGGAUUCAGUGCAGCCCUGCAGCCGGGCUCUCAGCUCUCAUCUGCGCACCUCCUGAUGGCGGGCAGCGUGACCCACAGCCCCGAGAACGACUCUCGAUGACAACAGCUGACAGCCGUGUUGCCAUGACAAAUGCGAGUUGUGUGCCGUUCAAAUGCGUUUCUAACAAUCAAGGGAAAUGGCAGAAUCCUUCUGAGAAGUUGAUGUAGAGAUAGCUAGAGGCUCGUGGCGGGGGCAGGAAAGGGUCGUUUCUGGCAUCCCAGGGAGGUCACGUUGACACAAAAAACGCAGCCUCAAAGUGUGGGACGUGGAAGUGGGUUUGCAAGGAGACGUCAGGGUCAGGGGAGAAGCUACGACGCGGUCGGUCAAGGAGUCUCCACCAGGGAGAACCGUGCUCUCCCCUCUAGUGUGAACCGAGACCCACGAAGCCACAGCAAGUCCCUCCCAGCCGCACAGAUUUUAUCUGAAACCCUGUGCUGGGCGGCUUUGCUUCUGCCUUCAGGGCUGGCUCUCAGUAAAGGCUCCUUGACGGGAAGCGACACCAUAAUCUCAGAGUAUACCAGGCCCUUUGAGGAAGGGGGUCAAAUCCCAAACACCUUUUAGUCUCAAGACAUUUAAUAAGAGGCCAACAAAGUAUAUUGCAGAGCAAGACCUGCCGCACUGGGAAGGCAAACACUGCAACAAGCUAGAAGCCGCUUCCAGAAGGCGAGAGAUGACUGCCCAGCCCUGUGGCUGAUGGUUGUGAUGUGCUCUAACAACAAGGACAAGGAUUAUUAAAGGGUCACUUUUAAAGUCGUCCAAUUGAUUAACAUUUCUCGACGGGUAUAUAAAAAACCCAGAGGCCCCAACUUUCCCCACCACCACCUCUCAGCCCAGCCCCCUCCUCUCUCACUUGGAAGCUCUGCCUGUAGGAGAAAGAACAGAAUCUUAAGAAAGGAGUUGACAAAAACUGAAAGACAUCCUGUGGCGAAAGUCUGGUGAACCUUGUACAAGGGGAAUGAUGCUAUCUCAGGUUCAUAGAUUCAGCAAGCAAGCCCUGUUUUCGUCCUCAAGGAUUUUGCAAUGGCGGAAGGAGAAAGAUAAGGUCCAGUGUAACACUGUGAACAAGGGGCCGUCGAGCAAAGAAUGUGUAGAAAGGAGGGUUGUGAGUUACUGUCCACUGAGCAUCUCCUCUCUGUCCAGCACUGAGCUGGAUGCCAUGGGAUGGAGUCUGAAGUCUACUGGGAGGAGUUCCUGAAACUUUAUGUGAGAGCUCUCCAAUCCUGGGUGACCACCAUCUUGGAUGGGGACUCCCAACAGGAAGGAAAGCCCACCUGGCCAUGGGAUUCCCUGGUCAAGGCCAAGAUUCCAUCUGACAACAACAUAGAAACCAGGUCGUAGAGAACAUGAUUGCGACCAACAGCUCCAGUGAGAUGUUCUUUUCAUGUGUUUGCACACGUUGAACAUCAUUACUCUUCUCCAAGAGAAAGAAACUUGGAACUUAAUGAGUAGAAUGAGCCUGAAUCUUCAACUUCAAACUGUUGAAUUUUCUUAUUCAUGCUUCCUUCUCACAGUUGGCUGAUCUCUCCUGCCCCAAGCUUUCAAAGGGAUGUUGGAGGCACUUAAAUUUUUCUUCACCAUAAAAGUAAGAAAAUCCCCUAUUAGACCUUCCUAAGGGCUGGACCCAUGGAUCAUUUGUCUCUAUGUCCCUGUUUAUAGAGCCUAGCAGAGCUUCCCAGGCACUCUGGAAAUGUCUGUGGCAUGUCUGUGGAAGGAAGGAGGCAAGGAGGAAGGGGGGAAAUAAGAUUCUUUUAGCUGAAUGAUGCUUGUGUUUCUUUAAAAACCAAUGGUGUGAAGACUUCCAAGGCUCCUAAAAGCUGCACAUACAUUAACCCCAUUAAUCGAUGCUGAUUCUUCUUAGUCCACAGAUUUUUAAAAUUCAAAUAGAUUAAUCAAGUGUGAAUCAUUCUAGAGAAACAAUCUUGCCUUUUCCAGAAAGGGCUUGGUUGAGUAACUCUCCUCUGUUUCAUUUUGUUCAGUUUUCAAUUAUAAAAUGAGACUCAGAAGAAGUUCAAAUAACCACAGAAGAAAGGAAUGUUUUUUUUCUUUCAGAAAGAACUGAAUAAUAAUAGCAAACACAUCAGCACUUACCAUGUGCCAAAAGCUGUUUUAUCUUGUACGUUAACUCCUUAUGGCAACUCUAGAGACAGUAGCUACACGUAUUUUGUUCUACACAACAGAAAACUGAGGCCCAGAGAGUUUGAGUAACUUGCCCAAGAUCACACAACUAGGACGUGGCAGUGCUAGGAUCUGAAACCAAGCCCUCUGGUUCAUGAACCCACACUCUAAACCGUUAAACCAACCACUCAGGUCCAGCAGCAUAUAUUAGAAAAUGAGAAAAGUCUGAGCCAAAGUUACUACAAUGCCCCAAACAAGAAGUCACCCUGAAGAAAGUAUGGCUCUUAGCUACAAGUGUAUCUCCUCACAGUGUCCUCUCUUGGAGUAGCUUGUGGCCAAAACUUGAGUGCUUUAAAAUGACAAAGUAGGAGCGCUUGGGUGGCUCAGUUGGUUAAGCGUCAACUCUUGGUUUCUGCUCAGGUCAUGAUCUCAGGAU